GAUGAACGCUGGCAGCGUGCCUAAUACAUGCAAGUCGUGCGAACAGACGAGGAGCUUGCUCCUCUGACGUUAGCGGCGGACGGGUGAGUAACACGUGGAUAACCUACCUAUAAGACUGGGAUAACUUCGGGAAACCGGAGCUAAUACCGGAUAAUAUAUUGAACCGCAUGGUUCAAUAGUGAAAGACGGUUUUGCUGUCACUUAUAGAUGGAUCCGCGCCGCAUUAGCUAGUUGGUAAGGUAACGGCUUACCAAGGCGACGAUGCGUAGCCGACCUGAGAGGGUGAUCGGCCACACUGGAACUGAGACACGGUCCAGACUCCUACGGGAGGCAGCAGUAGGGAAUCUUCCGCAAUGGGCGAAAGCCUGACGGAGCAACGCCGCGUGAGUGAUGAAGGUCUUCGGAUCGUAAAACUCUGUUAUUAGGGAAGAACAAAUGUGUAAGUAACUAUGCACGUCUUGACGGUACCUAAUCAGAAAGCCACGGCUAACUACGUG
rnacentral:rRNA from 1 species